rnacentral:rRNA from 1 species
GAUGAACGCUGGCGGCGUGCCUAAUACAUGCAAGUCGAGCGAACGGACGAGAAGCUUGCUUCUCUGAUGUUAGCGGCGGACGGGUGAGUAACACGUGGAUAACCUACCUAUAAGACUGGGAUAACUUCGGGAAACCGGAGCUAAUACCGGAUGAUAUUUUGAACCGCAUGGUUCAAAAGUGAAAGAUGGUCUUGCUGUCACUUAUAGAUGGAUCCGCGCUGCAUUAGCUAGUUGGUAAGGUAACGGCUUACCAAGGCAACGAUGCAUAGCCGACCUGAGAGGGUGAUCGGCCACACUGGAACUGAGACACGGUCCAGACUCCUACGGGAGGCAGCAGUAGGGAAUCUUCCGCAAUGGGCGAAAGCCUGACGGAGCAACGCCGCGUGAGUGAUGAAGGUCUUCGGAUCGUAAAACUCUGUUAUUAGGGAAGAACAUAUGUGUAAGUAACUGUGCACAUCUUGACGGUACCUAAUCAGAAAGCCACGGCUAACUACGUG